GACGAACGCUGGCGGCGUGCUUAACACAUGCAAGUCGAACGGAAAGGCCCUGCUUUUGUGGGGUGCUCGAGUGGCGAACGGGUGAGUAACACGUGAGUAACCUGCCCUUGACUUUGGGAUAACUUCAGGAAACUGGGGCUAAUACCGGAUAGGAGCUCCUGCUGCAUGGUGGGGGUUGGAAAGUUUCGGCGGUUGGGGAUGGACUCGCGGCUUAUCAGCUUGUUGGUGGGGUAGUGGCUUACCAAGGCUUUGACGGGUAGCCGGCCUGAGAGGGUGACCGGCCACAUUGGGACUGAGAUACGGCCCAGACUCCUACGGGAGGCAGCAGUGGGGAAUAUUGCCUAAUGGGCGGAAGCCUGAUGCAGCAACGCCGCGUGCGGGAUGACGGCCUUCGGGUUGUAAACCGCUUUCGCCUGUGACGAAGCGUGAGUGACGGUAAUGGGUAAAGAAGCACCGGCUAACUACGUG
rnacentral:rRNA from 1 species